rnacentral:rRNA from 1 species
CCUACGGGCGGCAGCAGUGGGGAAUAUUGGACAAUGGGGGGAACCCUGAUCCAGCCAUGCCGCGUGUGUGAAGAAGGCCCUCGGGUUGUAAAGCACUUUCAGUGAGGAAGAACGCCUGGUGGUUAAUACCCAUCAGGAAAGACAUCACUCACAGAAGAAGCACCGGCUAACUCCGUGCCAGCAGCCGCGGUAAUACGGAGGGUGCGAGCGUUAAUCGGAAUUACUGGGCGUAAAGCGCGCGUAGGUGGCUUGAUAAGCCGGUUGUGAAAGCCCCGGGCUCAACCUGGGAACGGCAUCCGGAACUGUCAAGCUAGAGUGCAGGAGAGGAAGGUAGAAUUCCCGGUGUAGCGGUGAAAUGCGUAGAGAUCGGGAGGAAUACCAGUGGCGAAGGCGGCCUUCUGGACUGACACUGACACUGGGGUGCGAAAGCGUGGGUAGCAAACAGGAUUAGAUACCCGAGUAGUC